rnacentral:rRNA from 1 species
UAGUCAUAUGCUUGUCUCAAAGAUUAAGCCAUGCAUGUCUAAGUAUAAGCAAUUAUACCGCGAAACUGCGAAUGGCUCAUUAUAUAAGUUAUCGUUUAUUUGAUAAUACUUUACUACUUGGAUAACCGUGGUAAUUCUAGAGCUAAUACAUGCUGAAAAUCCCGACUUCGGAAGGGAUGUAUUUAUUAGAUUAAAAACCAAUGCCCCUCGGGGCUCUCUGGUGAAUCAUGAUAACUAGUCGAAUCGACAGGCCUUGUGCCGGCGAUGGCUCAUUCAAA